rnacentral:piRNA from 1 species
UGACAGCGUACACUGAGCC